rnacentral:misc_RNA from 1 species
GAUGAAGAACGUAGCGAAAUGCGAUACGUAAUGUGAAUUGCAGAAUUCAGUGAAUCAUCGAGUCUUUGAACGCACAUUGCGCCCCAUGGUAUUCCGGGGGGCAUGUCUGUCCGAGCGUCAUUGCUGCCCUCAAGCACGGCUUGUGUGUUGGGCCUCCGUCCUCCUCCCGGGGGACGGGCCCGAAAGGCAGCGGCGGCACCGCGUCCGGUCCUCGAGCGUAUGGGGCUUCGUCACCCGCUCUUGUAGGCCCGGCCGGCGCUUGCCGACACAUCAAUCUUUUUUCCAGGUUGACCUCGGAUCAGGUAGGGAUACCCGCUGAACUUAAGCAUAUCAAUAAGCGGAGGA